rnacentral:rRNA from 1 species
GAUGAACGCUGGCGGCGUGCCUAAUACAUGCAAGUCGAGCGAACAGACGAGGAGCUUGCUCCUCUGACGUUAGCGGCGGACGGGUGAGUAACACGUGGAUAACCUACCUAUAAGACUGGGAUAACUUCGGGAAACCGGAGCUAAUACCGGAUAAUAUAUUGAACCGCAUGGUUCAAUAGUGAAAGACGGUUUUGCUGUCACUUAUAGAUGGAUCCGCGCCGCAUUAGCUAGUUGGUAAGGUAACGGCUUACCAAGGCAACGAUGCGUAGCCGACCUGAGAGGGUGAUCGGCCACACUGGAACUGAGACACGGUCCAGACUCCUACGGGAGGCAGCAGUAGGGAAUCUUCCGCAAUGGGCGAAAGCCUGACGGAGCAACGCCGCGUGAGUGAUGAAGGUCUUCGGAUCGUAAAGCUCUGUUAUUAGGGAAGAACAAAUGUGUAAGUAACUAUGCACGUCUUGACGGUACCUAUCAGAAAGCCACGGCUAACUACGUG